UUCUGAUCAUCAGCUGGUCGUAUAGACACGUGUCCUAAGGUGAUAGUUCUCAGUCCUCAGUCCUGGAUUCUUGCUUCUUCAAAAGGCACUUUAUUAAUGGGAGGCUCCCAGAACGUGUACCCCAGUGCAGCUUCUCAACAGCUCUGGUGACUGAGUGAGCAGUCCCCGUGCAGAGGCAUGAUGACAGCUAUCCAAUUACACACGGUCAGUGGCCUCUGUUUCACUCUGCAAGCUUCCUCAAUAAUCCCUAUCAUCGUUUAGAACUGCAUGUUUGUUUGAGAGAUCAUCUGACACCAUGCCACUUUCUGUACCAUGAAACUGAAGGUUCAAUGAAGGCAGUAACUCUGGUAUCAUGUUCCGGCAUCACAUGCCCAGCAUGUAGCCCAGCACCUGUCCCAAAGUAUCAAUUCAUAUUUGUUAAAUGAGUGAAUAAAUGCAUGAGUGAA